AUUGAACGCUGGCGGCAUGCUUUACACAUGCAAGUCGAACGGCAGCAUGGGCUUCGGCCUGAUGGCGAGUGGCGAACGGGUGAGUAAUAUAUCGGAACGUACCCAAGAGUGGGGGAUAACGUAGCGAAAGUUACGCUAAUACCGCAUACGAUCUACGGAUGAAAGUGGGGGACCUUCGGGCCUCAUGCUCCUGGAGCGGCCGAUAUCUGAUUAGCUAGUUGGUAGGGUAAAGGCCUACCAAGGCAUCGAUCAGUAGCUGGUCUGAGAGGACGACCAGCCACACUGGAACUGAGACACGGUCCAGACUCUUACGGGAGGCAGCAGUGGGGAAUUUUGGACAAUGGGGGCAACCCUGAUCCAGCAAUGCCGCGUGAGUGAAGAAGGCCUUCGGGUUGUAAAGCUCUUUUGUCAGGGAAGAAACGGUUGUGGCUAAUAUCCAUGACUAAUGACGGUACCUGAAGAAUAAGCACCGGCUAACUACGUGCCAGCAGCCGCCGUAAUAC
rnacentral:rRNA from 1 species